GCGGAAGUGGUGAAAUUGGUAUACACGCUACUUUGAGGGGGUAGUGCUCGUUAGGGCGUAGGGGUUCAAGUCCCCUCUUCCGCACCA
rnacentral:tRNA from 2 species